rnacentral:rRNA from 1 species
UGCGCAGGCGGACCUAUUAGUCAGUGGUGAAAUCCCGGGGCUCAACUCCGGAACUGCCAUUGAUACUGUAGGUCUUGAGUUUGGUUGAAGUGGGCGGAAUGUAGCAUGUAGCGGCGAAAUGCAUAGAUAUGCUACAGAACACCGAUCGCGAAGGCAGCUCACUAAACCAAAACUGACGCUCAGGCACGAAAGCGUGGGUAGCGAACAGGAUUAGAUACCCUGGUAGUCC